rnacentral:rRNA from 1 species
UACGUAGGGGGCAAGCGUUGUCCGGAAUCAUUGGGCGUAAGGCGCGUGUAGGCGGCCCGGUAAGUCCGCUGUGAAAGUCGGGGGCUCAACCCUCGAAUGCCGGUGGAUACUGUCGGGCUAGAGUGCGGGAGAGGCGAGUGGAAUUCCUGGUGUAGCGGUGAAAUGCGCAGAUAUCAGGAGGAACACCAAUUGCGAAGGCAGCUCGCUGGGACGUUACUGACGCUGAUGCGCGAAAGCGUGGGGAGCAAACAGG